rnacentral:rRNA from 1 species
UACAGAGGUCUCAAGCGUUGUUCGGAUUCAUUGCGCGUAAAGGGUGCGUAGGCGGCGCGGUAAGUCGGGUGUGAAAUCUCGGAGCUUAACUCCGAAACUGCAUUCGAUACUGCCGUGCUUGAGGACUGGAGAGGAGACUGGAAUUUACGGUGUAGCGGUGAAAUGCGUAGAUAUCGUAAGGAAGACCAGUGGCGAAGGCGGGUCUCUGGACAGUUCCUGACGCUGAGGCACGAAGGCCAGGGGAGCAAACGGG